rnacentral:rRNA from 1 species
CCUACGGGAGGCAGCAGUAAGGAAUAUUGGUCAAUGGACGCAAGUCUGAACCAGCCAUGCCGCGUGAAGGAUUAAGGCCCUCUGGGUUGUAAACUUCUUUUAUAGGGGACGAAAAAAGGGCAUUCUUGCUCACUUGACGGUACCCUAGGAAUAAGCACCGGCUAACUCCGUGCCAGCAGCCGCGGUAAUACGGAGGGUGCAAGCGUUAUCCGGAUUUACUGGGUUUAAAGGGUGCGUAGGUGGGUUGGUAAGUCAGUGGUGAAAUCUUCGAGCUUAACUCGGAAACUGCCAUUGAUACUAUCAAUCUUGAAUCAUCUAGAGGUAAGCGGAAUAUGUCAUGUAGCGGUGAAAUGCUUAGAUAUGACAUAGAACACCAAUUGCGAAGGCAGCUUACUAUGGAUGUAUUGACACUGAGGCACGAAAGCGUGGGGAUCAAACAGGAUUAGAUACCCUGGUAGUCCACGCCCUAAACGAUGGAUACUCGACAUUUGUGAUAUACAAUAAGUGUCUGAGCGAAAGCAUUAAGUAUCCCACCUGGGAAGUACGACCGCAAGGUUGAAACUCAAAUGAAAUUGACGG